UCUAAGAUAGGAUGUUCUGCCCCUAAGAGCUGCUGUCCAGAGGGCUAGCAGCUCUUCAGUCCCAGCAGCGCCACUGAGAGUGGUGACAACUGGUCCCGGACCAGCCACCAUGGGGGAGGCCGCAGAAAGUAGGAAAAGAAAAUGAGAGCACAGAGUGGAGACAACAAGGACUGAGUACGAUAAGGAGCAAGUGCUAACUUGGGAAUUUGAUGGGGUGGGACACCUCUGACUCAGAACCUUUUCGUGGGACCUACUGAACUACACACAUCUUACAACAUGGUGGCAGCUAUCAGAACAACCCAAAACCUCAGAUGCUGGAGAAGAAAUUUAAAACCUGAAAAGAUUGACAAG